UGGGGAAUUUUGGACAAUGGGCGAAAGCCUGAUCCAGCAAUGCCGCGUGUGUGAAGAAGGCCUUCGGGUUGUAAAGCACUUUUGUCCGGAAAGAAAUCCUUGGCUCUAAUACAGUCGGGGGAUGACGGUACCGGAAGAAUAAGCACCGGCUAACUACGUGCCAGCAGCCGCGGUAAUACGUAGGGUGCAAGCGUUAAUCGGAAUUACUGGGCGUAAAGCGUGCGCAGGCGGUUUGCUAAGACCGAUGUGAAAUCCCCGGGCUCAACCUGGGAACUGCAUUGGUGACUGGCAGGCUAGAGUAUGGCAGAGGGGGGUAGAAUUCCACGUGUAGCAGUGAAAUGCGUAGAGAUGUGGAGGAAUACCGAUGGCGAAGGCAGCCCCCUGGGCCAAUACUGACGCUCAUGCACGAAAGCGUGGGGGAGCAAAACAGGAUUAGAUACCCUGGUAGUCCACGCCCUAAACGAUGUCAACUAGUUGUUGGGGACUUCAUUUCCUUAGUAACAGCUAACGCGUGAAGUUGACCGCCUGGGGAGUACGGUCGCAAGAUUAAAACUCAAAUGAAUUG
rnacentral:rRNA from 1 species